CGGCGCCGUCAAGACCACUACAGCCGCUAGUAUUGCUUGCGCUGCUAUUGCUGCUGCCGGCAGCUGCUGACGUGUCGAGCUCCACUUUUAAGGCCCGGACCGACCCAAGGGUCACUUGUGCACCGCAGGUAGCGACAUGGAGGUCGGCUUCCACGAUCUUGGACACGGACACAGGGCAACCUGUUGGUUGACAGUUGUGUUGUGCGGUCGUUGGUAAGUUAGUUGGUUCUCAAUAGUCGUUCGGGAAGUCGUUAGGACGGUAUUCUCUGGACAGUUUUUCGUUAGGGCGGUGGUUCGUUUUGGAUCAAGCUCCUCGCAAUUCCUUUUUGCUCAUAAGGCCCCUAUAUGCUGCUUCGUUCGUACCUGUCGUACGGAUGUCCAGACUGAUCCACUUCUCCGGGAUGGACAAGCGAAGCAGACCGGCGCCGCCGCUGCUACCGCUGCUACUACUACUACCCUUCAUCCCCAAGCCGCUAUCAGUGAUACUGCUGCUGCUACUCUUGCUACUGCUGCUGGUGGUAGCAGCACUGUCUCCCGCGACGCAGUAGCCCCCGCCGCGGCCGCCGCCGAGCUCUCGUCCGCCGUCAACGUCUCCUCCUGUUGCUUCUCGUUUUCGGAUUUCUGUAAUCAUCACCAUCACCAUCAGCAGCAGCAGCAGCAGCAGCAGCAGAAGCGUCAGCAAUUCAGCGUAUCGGUGAUAGCAUUCGCUGCAACAGCAGCAGUGAAAAACACUUCAGUAAUGAACACCAGCACCAGCACAGCCACCUGCAGGGCUGGCACCAACACUGAUGACCAACCCACAACGAACAACCAGAACCCAACGGAUGACCGGAAGACCCGGCCGCAACCCGAAAAAAGACCCACCCACCCACCCCACCCCACCUGUUUUAAAAAUAUCGGGGAAUAUCGGGGAGGGCUUUUCAUUCCGGGAAAUCCAUUAGGCCCAAAACAGCCGAUUCGCGAAUCGGCUGAGGACGCUGGGACUUGGCCAGAGCAUGCAUUCUGGCGGCGUCCUCUUACGAACCCUCCCAAUAAGUAAAUAACUAAUACUCUCUACCACCCUAUUAUGGUGGAUAAAAAUAUCUGGCUAAUUUCCUUCUGCUAUACGCUGAGCUCGUAGUGUCAUGCUUACCGUACACCUGACGUACGGGCGCUAACGAGCUGGAUUGCCCCCCCGACUGCGGUCCAGUGGCAGUGGCAGUGGCAGUGGCAGUAGUGCGGUCCAACACGGUCCAGAGGCUACCGUCGGCUGGCUGACCCUGGGUGUAUGUAAGUAUGUAAGUAUGUAAGUAAGUAAGUAAGUAAGUAUGUAAGUAUGUAUGUAUGUAUGUAUGUAUGUAUGUAUGUAUGUAUGCACAGGGGGAAAGGGGGGUGGAAUGUUAGAUAUGACGGAUGGAGAGCGGGAGAUGGCGGAGAUGAGUGGAGUGUGAUGGAGAGUGCGGUCCAGGACCAGAGCUACUGCUGCUGAAACAACGAACAACAACAACGAACAACAUGCCAAAUUUGGCUACACAGGUUGGCGACAGAUAUUCAAGGUGUAAUCCUCGGCCCUGUGACCGCAUGCACCGACUGGCCCGGUCCUCCACACAUCUAUCUGCGGCGGACCGCACCUCCCGGUCCUCCACACAUCUAUCUGCGGCGGACCGCACCUCCCGGUCCUCCACACAUCUAUCUGCGGCGGACCGCACCUCCCGGUCCUCCACACAUCUAUCUGCGACGGACCGCACCUCCCGGUCCUCCACACAUCUAUCUGCGACGGACCGCACCUCCCGGUCCUCCACACAUCUAUCUGCGGCGGACCGCACCUCCCGGUCCUCCACACAUCUAUCUGCGGCGGACCGCACCUCCCGGUCCUCCACACAUCUAUCUGCGGCGGACCGCACCUCCCGGUCCUCCACACAUCUAUCUGCGGCGGACCGCACCUCCCGGUCCUCCACACAUCUAUCUGCGGCGGACCGCACCUCCCGGUCCUCCACACAUCUAUCUGCGGCGGACCGCACCUCCCGGUCCUCCACACAUCUAUCUGCGGCGGACCGCACCUCCCGGUCCUCCACACAUCUAUCUGCGGCGGACCGCACCUCCCGGUCCUCCACACAUCUAUCUGCGGCGGACCGCACCUCCCGGUCCUCCACACAUCCAUCUGCGGCGGACCGCACCUCCCGGUCCGUGCCCACCAGCGGCAUAUCGCCACCGCACGGCUCUCCUACCGGGUUAUCGGUAGUCGCCGCUGCAGGCUGGGAAGCGACCUGCCGUACAGCUCCGGAACCACAGCCAGCUAGCCACGCAUGCAUGCAUGCACAUAACAGGCGACACCCGCCCACACACACAUACGCCGACACGCGCCCACCUGCAGCGUUGCCACGUCGCUCCAUCCCCCCAC
rnacentral:lncRNA from 1 species